rnacentral:lncRNA from 1 species
GACACCUAAAUGCUCACAGCCAGGGACAAAGGUGAAGGCUCCAGGAAUGAUCUGUGCGGUGUUCACUCCUUCCUAACCCUGGCAGCAGAGUUGUCGGGAGAUGACACAGGUCCCGCACAGCCCGGGAAAGGCCUACCGGAGUCGGAUGCACGCCUGUCAUUGUUAUCAUUAUUGUUAUUGUUUCUGGGGACGGAGGUGCCAUCUGCUAAAGUGAGUAGAGCCCAGAACAGGGCGGCUGCCCCCGGAUGCCCUGCCAGCCUCGUUCCGGGCCGGGCCACCACAAUGAAACAGGAAGGCCGGUGCCGCUCAGGCACCCCAACAAUGGAAAUCCACGUGUUACAGUUUUAUAGACGGCCCAGUUCAGAAGCAGCAAACCGGCGUCCGCUGAGAUCAAGCAAACCCGGGGCCCCCAACGUGCGCAAGUCUCUGGCCUCUGCUCUUGUUUAUUUCUGCGUGAGGCUCUCACUAGGCAGCUGGGGGAAGCAGGCCUUAUUCACAGCCAGACAGGAGGAAACAGAGGCGCACGGCCGUGUCAAGGCCAGGGGACUCAGUGUGAUGUAAAAACAAGGCCAGUCUGGUGAGCAAAGGGGAUGUGAGGGUGCUGAGUGUGGAUGAAAGUAUAUGCAGCAACAGCGAAACUCAAACAGGGGUCCGGCUUGUCAUCACUUCUUCUCCCCACCAACCUGCAGGUCAGCAGGGUUGCCCUUGGCCGGGGGUGGUGGGGCACGCCUGUUAUCCUAGCACUCUGGGAGGCUGAGGCAGGAGGAUUGCCAAUUUGAGCACAGCCUGGUCUGGAGAGGGUUCUAUGCCUGGUCCCAUCCACACAGUGAGUCAGAGUUUAAGAGACAGCUCUUUUUAGACUCAGCAUUCUGUCAAAACCCUCUGUGGGAUUCCAAAGACCUUCUUAAGCCGUUCAGAGCUGUUGGAAACCCCUACAGGCGACUCUUAAUCGCAAUAGUAUUUGAGGAGUGAAAAAAAGAAAAAAAAAAUCACCGUUUCCAUUUUCAGAAUGACAGUAGCGGUUUUGAAAGGAGCGAGAGAGAAGCCGCAGAGCCUCAGACCCGGAACUCGGGUUGCUCCGCUCCUGUGCUGGGAUCCAGCUCCUUUGUGUGGCUUGGAGCCCCCGUCCCGAGUAAGUGAAGAGCUCCAAGCCUUGUUUCCAGCAGGAUCAGCUCCAAGGCAGUGCAUCUCAGGAAAGGCUUCGGGCGGCUGGGGACACAGCUCCCAUGGCAGUGCUUUGCUGUGAAGUCCCACACCUCCCCAAGUGCCCAAGGCCACCUCACGCCCUGCUGACCAGGUGUUCACUUUGACAGUGCUAGGGAUCAAGCCCAGGGCCUCACGAAUGCCAGGCAAGUGCCCUGCCACUGACCAUGUGUUCCUAGAAGCCCUUUCUUGCCUGGGGUCCCAUGGCCCCUGGACCCUCAGGGUCUCUCC